UUGAGAGUUUGAUCCUGGCUCAGAACGAACGCUGGCGGCAGGCCUAACACAUGCAAGUCGAGCGCACUCUUCGGAGUGAGCGGCGGACGGGUUAGUAACGCGUGGGAACAUACCCUUUUCUACGGAAUAGCCUCGGGAAACUGAGAGUAAUACCGUAUACGCCCUUCGGGGGAAAGAUUUAUCGGAGAAGGAUUGGCCCGCGUUUGAUUAGAUAGUUGGUGGGGUAAUGGCCUACCAAGUCUACGAUCAAUAGCUGGUUUGAGAGGAUGAUCAGCAACACUGGGACUGAGACACGGCCC
rnacentral:rRNA from 1 species